GCCCCUGUAGCUCAGUGGAUAGAGCGUCCCCCUCCUAAGGGGAAGGUCGCAGGUUCGAUUCCUGCCGGGGGCGCCA
rnacentral:tRNA from 2 species